rnacentral:rRNA from 1 species
AUGCACUGCUGCGGCGGCAUCCUCAUCUGCCACUGCUUGAAGGCGGCCAUGAGCAAGGAGGCGGACUACGUCGUGUGCAACCCCGCGACGGAGGAGAUGUGGGCCGUGCUGCCCGUGCCCUCCAAGAACCUCAGCACCGCCCACCUGUGUUUCGACCCGGCCGUCCCCCGCUGUUUCAAGGUGUUCCUGUUCGUGCAAAGUUUUGAGGGGAUCCAGAGGGUGGAGGUCUACUCUUCGGAGACCGGGCAGUGGACCUCCAUGCAGAGCCAGUGGAGCCAUGAUAUUCUCCUCAUGGGGAAGCAUUCAGAAUGUGUAUUCUUCAAUGACACCCUGCAUCUGGUUGCCGACAAUAUGAUCGGGUUUAUGAUCCAGGAGGGGAAAGUGAUACGCUCCAUGGUUACAGUGCACACGGAGGGGAAAGCCUGGAGGAGCAUCAGAAUGCCGGAUGACAUCCAUAAUGGUUUCAUCGGGCAGUCACAGGGGCGCAUAUACGCCACACGCUUAGAAAACGGAGAUGAUUGUUGUCUAUCGGUCUGGGUUCUUAAAGAUUAUGCUACGGGAGAGUGGACUCUGAAGUGUACCGCCAGCAUUCCCGAACUGCUAGGAAGGCCUCACCGCAGGCACAGCGAACUCUACACGUUGGUCGCGAUCCAUCCCGAGUGCAGCUUGAUCUAUCUAGCAGGCGGGGUGAGGCUGGAAAACACACUUAUGUCGUACGAUAUGGAUAGCGGUGAGUUGCAGAUCCCUUGGGCGAAAUCUGCUUGCAUGGUGUCAAACAACACCAAUACGUGCUACACUGAGAACAGGGUUAUAUUUUAUUUGCCUUUUGUAGGGGAAGAGAAUAACACAACUGCACAACUCAUUAAGUGA